rnacentral:lncRNA from 1 species
UAGACUUGUAUAGACUUGUAUAUUCAUUGUAUACACAUUGUAUGUUUACUGUAUACUCAUGGUAUACUUUAUGCUGGGCUAUGAUGAUUGGACUGUGUAUCUGAGCCCAACAGUUAUUUAGUUUUGGGCCGGCUCACCCGACCCGACCCAAUAGUGAAACGUGUAUAUAGUAUAGGGGGCAGAUUUUUUUGUGCACGGACUUCAUUUUGCUUUCAUUUUUCUAAUUAAUAAAAUUCUCUCUCUUCUAGAGAGUUCUCUCAACUGCUCCUCCUUCUCUCUAGAUUCUCUCAGUAUAUUCUUCAUGAUUC